rnacentral:rRNA from 1 species
UGCCUACGGGAGGCAGCAGUGGGGAAUAUUGCGCAAUGGGCGAAAGCCUGACGCAGCGACGCCGCGUGAGGGAUGAAGGUCUUCGGAUCGUAAACCUCUGUCAGCAGGGAAGAACGGUCACUGUGCUAGUCAGCAGUGAAUUGACGGUACCUGCAAAGGAAGCACCGGCUAACUACGUGCCAGCAGCCGCGGUAAUACGUAGGGAGCGAGCGUUGUCCGGAAUUACUGGGUGUAAAGGGAGCGUAGGCGGGGAUGCAAGUUGGGUGUCAAAACUACCGGCUCAACUGGUGGGUGCACUCAAAACU